AUCUAAAAAGCAGGCUAUGUGUGAGUCUUUGACCACUCUGCGGUCUGGGGAGAACUUCCUCGUCCCCUACAUCAGACCAGGAGGGCAGAAACCACGUGGCUCUGAAGGAUCUGCGUUCUCCAGCUACCUAACAUGUGUGCACACACAGUUCCAAGGCCACAAUGAAUGAGCAGUUAUUUCCUUCAGUCCAGAAUAGUGGAUCUCCUGUUCCAACGGGAACUUGGCUCUUGCGGCUCUCAGAUCCUUUGGGAAAGCUAGAGACAUAAAACACUCCCUUCUGAGCCUCACUGCAGAAGAUUAACACACGUCAUACCGUGAAAGGAGAAUUGUAACGUGUGUGGGAUGAAGGGAGCUAGCUGCUUUCCCAUUUACGUCCUUUCCCAACUGCUUUGGAGCAUGGAGGACAGAGCUUCAGCCAGGCUUGACCUGGAACUCCCAGGACCUGGUGGUCACGCCAACUCCAGGAACACACAGUUUCUCCUGGCAUUCUUUCAGGUCAACGCUACUGUGGCGGGGAGUGAAAGCCUCAAGUCAGGCGGGAGCUGCAUGAGGUCACCCUGAUGGCAUUGUCCGAAUAUAAGUCAAAAGCUUUUAAUAGCAAAGCGUUAAGAUUAAGUAGCAUAUCCUGAAAGGUAAAAUGUCCUAGUGCUGUGGGAAACUAAGGUGGACAAGACGGGGCCUGCUUUAGCCACGAGUGGAUAAGCAAAGGAAAAACACACACAGAAAACUCCAUAAACACUAGGAGCGAAGCCUAUUGAAGAUAGCAGGCUGGACCACAGCACUUCAGCCAGGCUGAAUCUGAAGACACCG
rnacentral:lncRNA from 1 species